AGAGGGCUCUCCAAAAAGGUUAAAUGCGCACCGAGUUAUUGGCACCGGUUCUUAAAAACCGGUGGGAAAAAAUUAGGCGGAAAUUUGUAUAAUAGAAAAUGGCACCGGUUCAAACUAAACCGGUGCCAAAUUAGUGAAAUGGCACCGGUUUAAACCGGUGGGAAUUUACUGUAAAAAAAACCGGUCCUCUUAUUUUUCCUUCUUUCCCCUCUUCUUUCUUUCUUUUUCUUUCUGAUCGCUCUCUCUCUCUCUCCUCUUUCUCCUCUCUCCUCUGCUUUUCUCUCUUUCAUUUCACCAUACGCGGCGGCGAUGGUUACGAAAAUCCAACCUCCUAGCUUAGAUCUUUUGAAUUUUCAAAUGUUAUUUGCUCGAAUUAAGGGUGUUUUUGCUCGAUUUUCUACGGUUUUUGUAGUUCAAUUUUGUGGGGGUUUUGGGUCGGUUUUUUGCUCAAAAACAAAGGGAUGUGGCUUGGAUUUGUUCGAAUUAAGGGGGUUUUGGCUCGGAUUUUCUAGGAUUUUCGAUUAGUGGUCGAAUUUUGUGGGGGUUUUGGGUUAAUUUUUUGCUCGAAAACAGAGGGCUGUGGCUCGGAUUUGUUCGAAUUUUGGGGGUUUUGGCUCGGAUUAUCUAGGGUUUUCGAUUAGUGGUCGAAUUUGUAGGUUUUGUGGUCGGAAUUCUCGAGGUUUUGGGGUCAAAUUUCUGGGGUUUUGCUGGUCGAUUUUUUUGGGGUAUUGUUGUGGAAUUUCUGUAAAUUUUGCGGUUGAAUUUGUCAUCACUUUCUAGAACCUCUCGCCAGAAAUGUCCUCAAUGUGACGAAGUCCAGGUUGUUCGUGGUAUUCAUGGUCGAAAAUGCUUCUUGGGAGCUCGGAGUUUUGAGAUCAUGUUUCUUGGAGGUCUUUGUGAACCUGAUUACUUACAUAUUCAAACUUUUUAAGGUGCAAGGCAUGCACUCGGAUGUAGGGAGUGGAUUGGAAAGGCAUUGGCUACCAUCUUAUUUUGGGCAGCCUAUGAAAUGCUACGAGCAAGGCAACGGUUGAUUGGAGACAAGUAUAAUGAGGUGGUGGUGUGUACUGUUUCAGACCAGAAAACAAUGGAGAGCAUUAUAUAAGGACUGAGAACUGCCUUUUUUUUU